rnacentral:ncRNA from 1 species
AUAUAAUUACAGCGCCCGAACUGAGGUUAGACGAUUAAAUUAACCUUAGUUGACGAGGAAAAAAGUUAUCGAAAAUUCGGCGGAUGCUUUUUCGGAAUUUAGAGUUUCGUUAAGUAGCAUACAAAAGUAUACUAGCGUAUAAACAAAAAUG